AGUGGCAAACGGGUGAGUAACGCGUAGGUAACCUGCCUUAAAGCCGGGAAUAGCUCAGCGAAAGUUGAGGUAAUACUCGAUAGUCUCCAAUUACUUCGGUAUUUUGGAGUAAAGUUUCGGCGCUUUAGGAGGGGCCUGCGUCCUAUCAGCUAGUUGGUGAGGUAAAAGCUCACCAAGGCUAAGACGGGUAGCUGGUGUGAGAGCAUGUUCAGCCACCAUGGAACUGAGACACGGUCCAUACUCCUACGGGAGGCAGCAAUUAGGAAUCUUGCGCAAUGGGGGCAACCCUGACGCAGCGACACAGCGUGGAGGAGGAAGGUCUUCGGAUUGUAAACUCCUUUUAUGAGGGACGAAUAGAUGACGGUACCUCUUGAAUAAGUACCUGCUAACUACGUGCCAGAAGCAUCGGUGAUGCGUAGGGUACAAACGUUAUCCGGAGUUAUUGGGCGUAAAGAGAUGCGUAGGCGGCUUAAUAAGUCUAAGGUUAAAACCCCACGGCUCAACCGUGGACAAGCUUUGGAUACUGUUAUGCUUGAGAUAUAGAGGGGUGAAUGGAAUUCCGAGUGGAGUGGUGAAAUACGUUGAUAUUCGGAAGAACACCAGUGGCGAAGGCGAUUCACUGGCUAUUAUCUGACGCUAAGGCUCGAAAGUAUGGGUAGCAAAACGGAUUAGAUACCCGUGUAGUCCAUACCGUAAACGAUGAAUGCUAGGUGUUUGAC
rnacentral:rRNA from 1 species